AGUGAACGCUGGCGGUAGGCCUAACACAUGCAAGUCGAACGGCAGCACAGUAAGAGCUUGCUCUUACGGGUGGCGAGUGGCGGACGGGUGAGGAAUACAUCGGAAUCUACUUUUUCGUGGGGGAUAACGUAGGGAAACUUACGCUAAUACCGCAUACGACCUACGGGUGAAAGCAGGGGAUCUUCGGACCUUGCGCGAUUGAAUGAGCCGCUGUCGGAUUAGCUAGUUGGCGGGGUAAAGGCCCACCAAGUCGACGAUCCGUAGCUGGUCUGAGAGGAUGAUAGGCCACACUGGAACUGGGACACGGUCCAGACUCCUACGGGAGGCAGCAGUGGGGAAUAUUGGACAAUGGGCGCAAGCCUGAUCCAGCCAUACCGCGUGGGUGAAGAAGGCCUUCGGGUUGUAAAGCCCUUUUGUUGGGAAAGAAAAGCAGCAGGUUAAUACCCCGCUGUUCUGACGGUACCCAAAGAAUAAGCACCGGCUAACUUCGUG
rnacentral:rRNA from 1 species